GAGGGAUUAUCGCUUAGAGAGGUACUGCUUUAACCUUCUGAAGGAGUGUGUAAAGGGAACAGAGAUAGGCCAGGUGGUAGAGCUCCGUGAUCAUAGGGAGCUGGGACCCUGAGAUACAGGGAUGGAUCGGGGAAACAGUAACGCGAAUGCAGGAGGUGAUGGAGCAGGACCUUCUAGUAUGGGUGGUACAGACCUUGACGUAGUGUUACGUAGCGUCACUUAGCAGGUGAUGGUUGAGAUGGCCAGG